AACGAACGCUGGCGGCAGGCUUAACACAUGCAAGUCGAACGAUGUAGCAAUACAUAGUGGCGCACGGGUGAGUAACGCGUGGGAAUAUACCUUAUAGUGGGGAAUAACUUUGGGAAACUAAAGCUAAUACCGCAUACGCCCGAGAGGGGAAAGAUUUAUCGCUAUAAGAUUAGCCCGCGUGAGAUUAGGUAGUUGGUGGGGUAAUGGCCUACCAAGCCUACGAUCUCUAGCUGGUCUGAGAGGAUGAUCAGCCACACUGGAACUGAGACACGGUCCAGACUCCUACGGGAGGCAGCAGUGGGGAAUAUUGGGCAAUGGAGGAAACUCUGACCCAGCCAUGCCGCGUGAAUGAUGAAGGCCUUAGGGUUGUAAAGUUCUUUCGCCGAUGAAGAUAAUGACGGUAGUCGGAGAAGAAGCCCCGGCUAACUUCGUGCCAGCAGCCGCCGUAA
rnacentral:rRNA from 1 species